GUGAAGUUCGUUUAACUGGCGCAGACGGUGAGUCUGUA
rnacentral:sRNA from 1 species